AGAGAUAUAAAUAAGGAAUGCAGAUUUUAGGUUCCCUAGCUCUAAUAACCAAAGUUUAUCGAAAGCCUUCCUUUUCCACCACCUUUGUUUCUUAACACACCCACCAGAUCUAGCGCUUUUAAACUUCUCUCCAGCACCCGCUAGUUGCAAGGUUAGCUGCCUCUUGUUUUUUGUGUUCUUGGAGGGUCGCCAGUGUGAAAUCUGAGGAGGUUUGUGAUCGGUUUUACUAAAUAAGAAAGAAAAGAAAGGGUGAGUUAAACGAAAAAGAAAAAAGAUGGGAGAGGGUGAGCGGUUUCAGCUGGGAAUGGUUGGGGCUUUGACUCUGUCAGUAGUUUCAUCAGUGUCCAUAGUGAUCUGCAACAAGGCUUUAAUCAGCUCAUUGGGUUUCCAUUUCGCUACAACUUUGACAAGCUGGCAUCUUCUAGUCACCUUUUCUUCUCUUCACAUGGCUUUAAAGAUGAAACUGUUCGAACACAAACCGUUUGAUCAAAAAGCUGUUAUGGGCUUUGGCAUUCUAAAUGGGAUCUCCAUUGGACUUUUGAAUUUGAGCCUGGGUUUCAAUUCUGUUGGAUUUUAUCAGAUGACCAAGCUGGCAAUCAUCCCUUGUACUGUACUUUUGGAGACCCUUUUCCUUGGGAAGAGAUUCAGUAGGAGUAUUCAGCUUUCGCUCGUUAUCCUCCUUCUGGGAGUUGGCAUUGCAACAGUUACUGAUUUGCAACUCAAUGCUCUGGGCUCUGUCCUAUCUCUCCUUGCAAUUGUUACAACAUGUGUUGCUCAAAUUAUGACCAAUACCAUCCAGAAGAAUUUUAAGGUUUCUUCAACCCAACUUCUAUAUCAAUCUUGUCCAUACCAAGCAGGCACUUUGUUGAUCUCUGGCCCAUUUUUGGAUGGGUUUUUGACUGAUCAAAAUGUAUUUGCUUUCAAAUAUACAACUCAAGUACUGGCUUUCAUCAUUCUAUCCUGCCUAAUAUCCAUCUCUGUAAAUUUUAGCACAUUCCUUGUAAUUGGAAAGACCUCCCCAGUCACCUAUCAGGUUCUUGGACAUCUGAAGACAUGCCUUGUAUUGGCAUUUGGUUAUGUCUUACUUCAUGACCCCUUUAGCUGGAGGAAUAUUUUAGGAAUUUUUAUUGCACUGAUUGGGAUGGUUCUAUAUUCUUAUUUUUGCACUCGUGAGAGUCAGUCAACAACUACCGAAGUGUCGGCACAACCAUUUCAGCAGGUGGAAGGUGAAUCUGCUCCUCUGCUGAAUGCGGAAAAUGGAAAAGGUGGAUUAAUUGAGGCUGUUGUGCCAAAAGCCCCUGUAUGGAAUUCAAGCAAAGAUUUGGAUGCAUGAAGGAUUUUUCAUACACCUAAGAGAAGCAGAUGCAGCCAUGAGGGCAAUGACGAGACCCAUGUCUUACAUCCCAAACUUGCACAGGCAGUAUAACUAUAGCUUCGGAGCAAAAUUGUAGUUUCUGUCGAGAUGAAAGGAGGAAAAAAAAAGUUACGAACAGGAAUAAUUCUACAAACAGAUGAUGAACUUUUAAUCUAUCAUGCUACACUGAUGGAGUCGGUUGAAGUGCUAAAUGUCAAAGAGUUAGCUACUCAGGCAGAGCAAAGAGUGGAAUGACAGAGGCCCAAAUUGAUGCUGGGGGAGGAGUAGACAUUUAGAGAAUGAAAAGCGAAAAAAAAGGGGGGUGGGAUCGACACGAUGGGGUCUAGCUUGUUUCUCUAUGAUAUAUUCUAUGGUCCAUUGUAAUCAUACAUACACUGCACAUUUUUGUGAUUGGUAACUAGUUUCAUUUAAAAGAAGCUUUUCGAAUCA